GAGCAGGAGGAGGGGAUGAAGGUGGUGAAGAGGAAGAACUUCCGCAAGGCCUUGGACCGAGCGUUUCGCCGCGGCUGGGAGGCCUUCAUCACCAACCUCUACAGCGUCACGCUCACGCCCGUCACCUCCUCGCCGUCGUCCCCUUCGUCGAAGAAGAAGCUCCAGCACAGCUCGGUGUUAGCCGAGUUUCAGUAGAGCCGGAGGACGACAUGGACAAUAAAAGCAAACUCUUUUUU